rnacentral:rRNA from 1 species
UAGUACGGCGAGUGAAGAGGGAAGAGCCCAAGAUUGAAAGCUGGCGUCUUCGGCGUCCGCAUUGUAAUCUCAAGAAGUGUUUUCCGCUUCGGACCAAGCCUAAGUCCCCUGGAAAGGGGCAUCAUAGAGGGUGAUAAUCCCGUACAUGGCUUGGAGCGCCCGAGGCUUUGUGAUACGCUUUCUAAGAGUCGAGUUGUUUGGGAAUGCAGCUCAAAAUGGGUGGUAAAUGCCAUCUAAGGCUAAAUAUUGGGGAGAGACCGAUAGCGAACAAGUACAGUGAUGGAAAGAUGAAAAGAACUUUGAAAAGAGAGUUAAACAGUACGUGAAAUUGCCAAAAGGGAAGGGUAGGAGGUCAGAGAUGCGGCCUGGGAUUCAGCCUUGCUUUUGCUUGGUGUUUUUCCCAGAUUGCAGGCCAACGUCGGUUUUGGGCACUGGAGAAGGGUAGGAGGAACGUGGCACCUCUCGGGGUGUGUUAUAGCCUCCUACUGGAUACAGCGACCGAGACCGAGGACAGCAGCGUACUCGCAAGAGCGGGCCUUCGGGCACCUUUACGCUUAGGGCGUUGGCAUAAUGGCCCUCUACCACCCGUCUUG